rnacentral:hammerhead_ribozyme from 1 species
GUACUGCUGAGGAGUCCAACAAUAGGACGAAAUAGCCUUCCAGUGC